AUUGAACGCUGGCGGCAUGCCUUACACAUGCAAGUCGAACGGCAGCACGGACUUCGGUCUGGUGGCGAGUGGCGAACGGGUGAGUAAUACAUCGGAACGUGCCUAGUAGUGGGGGAUAACUACUCGAAAGAGUGGCUAAUACCGCAUGAGAUCUAUGGAUGAAAGCAGGGGACCUUAGGGCCUUGUGCUACUGGAGCGGCCGAUGGCAGAUUAGGUAGUUGGUGGGAUAAAAGCUUACCAAGCCGACGAUCUGUAGCUGGUCUGAGAGGACGAUCAGCCACACUGGGACUGAGACACGGCCCAGACUCCUACGGGAGGCAGCAGUGGGGAAUUUUGGACAAUGGGCGCAAGCCUGAUCCAGCAAUGCCGCGUGCAGGAUGAAGGCCUC
rnacentral:rRNA from 1 species